CCUACGGGAGGCAGCAGUAGGGAAUAUUGCUCAAUGGGGGAAACCCUGAAGCAGCAACGCCGCGUGGAGGAUGAAGGUUUUCGGAUUGUAAACUCCUUUUGUUAGAGAAGAUAAUGACGGUAUCUAACGAAUAAGCACCGGCUAACUCCGUGCCAGCAGCCGCGGUAAUACGGAGGGUGCAAGCGUUACUCGGAAUCACUGGGCGGAAAGAGCGCGUAGGCGGGAUAGCAAGUCAGAUGUGAAAGCCUAUGGCUUAACCAUAGAACUGCAUUUGAAACUGUUAUUCUAGAGUAUGGGAGAGGUAGGUGGAAUUCUUGGUGUAGGGGUAAAAUCCGUAGAGAUCAAGAGGAAUACCCAUUGCGAAGGCGACCUGCUAGAACAUAACUGACGCUGAUGCGCGAAAGCGUGGGGAGCAAACAGGAUUAGAUACCCUUGUAGUC
rnacentral:rRNA from 1 species